GUAUAGUCACCAGAAAUCGAAAUUAAUGAAGCGCACAGAGAAGGAAGGAGCUAACGACCUCCCAGACACAGGCUAUGAUCUAAUCAGGACUGAAUAUCAACUAGAGUAGAGACACAGGAGUGAAUAUGGAAUGAGCAAACAAAGAACAUCUAGGACUGGAACCUUUGUAACUCUGGAGCAAUAGAUCUCAAACACCUGAUAUUGCGCUCCUUCCAGUCUUAUCCAAGUCUUCAUUUGCACAUUGGACUGUGUCAAUAAACAAGGCUGCAGUCACACG